rnacentral:sRNA from 1 species
AUGUACUGCGCGUGCACUCUAGAUUUCCGGUGCGCCGUUCGUACCUUGCUGACGAUCGCUUGCCACGUGUUGCUAGCC